ACACAUGCAAGUCGAGGGGCAGCAUUGGAGUAGCAAUACUUCAGAUGGCGACCGGCGCACGGGUGAGUAACACGUAUCCAACCUGCCGCUUACUCGGGGAUAGCCUUUCGAAAGAAAGAUUAAUACCCGAUGGUAUAAAGAGUUCGCAUGUUCUCUUUAUUAAAGAAUUUCGGUAAGCGAUGGGGAUGCGUUCCAUUAGAUAGUUGGCGGGGUAACGGCCCACCAAGUCUACGAUGGAUAGGGGUUCUGAGAGGAAGGUCCCCCACAUUGGAACUGAGACACGGUCCAAACUCCUACGGGAGGCAGCAGUGAGGAAUAUUGGUCAAUGGACGAGAGUCUGAACCAGCCGAGUAGCGUGAAGGAUGACUGCCCUAUGGGUUGUAAACUUCUUUUAUAAGGGAAUAAAGUGAGGGACGUGUCCCUUUUUGUAUGUACCUUAUGAAUAAGGAUCGGCUAACUCCGUGCCAGCAGCCGCGGUAAUACGGAGGAUCCGAGCGUUAUCCGGAUUUAUUGGGUUUAAAGGGAGCGUAGGUUGACAUAUAAGUCAGCUGUGAAAGUUUACGGCUCAACCGUGAAAUUGCAGUUGAUACUGUAUGUCUUGAGUGUACAAGAGGUGGGCGGAAUUCGUGGUGUAGCGGUGAAAUGCUUAGAUAUCACGAAGAACUCCAAUUGCGAAGGCAGCUCACUGGGGUACAACUGACACUGAGGCUCGAAAGUGUGGGUAUCAAACAGGAUUAGAUACCCUGGUAGUCCACACAGUAAACGAUGAAUACUCGCUGUUUGCGAUAUACAGUAAGCGGCCAAGCGAAAGCAUUAAGUA
rnacentral:rRNA from 1 species